CGACGUCAAAUCAUCAUGCCCCUUAUGACCUGGGCUUCACACGUAAUACAAUGGCCGUUAACAGAGGGAAGCGAAGCCGCGAGGCGGAGCAAACCCAAAACGGUCUCAGUUCGGAUCGCAGGCUGCAACCCGCCUGCGUGAAGUUGGAAUUGCUAGUAAUCGCGGAUCAGCAUGCCGCGGUGAAUACGUUCCCGGGCCUU
rnacentral:rRNA from 1 species